CGUCGUAAAACCUGAGAAAUCUAAUUCACCAAUCAAACAAGGUUAGAUCGCGAAACCGAGGUCGCAAUGAAGAUAGCUUCAAACUUGACCAGAAGUGUGAAAGGGUAAGAGAAAGAGAGGAUUGAAGCUCGAUUUUUGUGCAUCAUGGUCGAUCGGAGCGAGAAGACAAGAGAAUCAGACAUAAGUGAGCUCCUUGGCCCCUCCGAUGGCUGGCGAAUCUAGAGCUGCGAUGAAUUAAACGAGCUCGUCGAUGGAGGCAACUGACGGCGUCGAUCUAGAUCAUGAUCCCCGAGGUCUCUCUGGCGAAGAAUCGGGAUGAGAUCUGAAAGAGGAAGGAAUACCCAAGUCCAGUUCUGGCCUUCGUUCUCGGAUUUUUAGUUUGCUGGUGUCCAUAUAGUCUUUUGGGUUUGCGUUGAAUAGGGAACCAAUCGGUCAUGUGUUCGAUUGCUAUGGAACUUAGGAAU
rnacentral:lncRNA from 1 species